CCAUUUUCUUUUUCUAUUCUUACCAUUGCUGUUAAUUUAUCUUCUAAUUUUAAUUCUUCUUUUUCUAACAUUAGAUAUAAAUGUUCACCUAUUUUCUUAUAUCUUCGUCCUAGAUUAGAAAAUACUAUUUUUAUUUUUGAUCCUUCGUAAUUUUCAUAUAUUUUUUCAUCUAUUAUAAAUUCUUCUUUAUUCAUUUUAUUGUGAAUAGGUCAUGUUGAUAUACAUAUUCUAAACUAUCUAUUUGUGAUUCUAAUUUUGAUAUUUCAUCUUUUUG
rnacentral:lncRNA from 1 species